UUCCCUUCAAAUGCUAUUGAAGUUAGAAACGUGUAUAACAAUGUGGUAUGUAACUUUAGAGACGGUCCCUUAAUUUCUGCAUAUCUCCGAAUAUCGAACCUCCAACGUCACACCGACUUUAUUCCAGUGACCCAGGCUUCUUUUACUUUGAAUUACACUGUAUAUUACAGCGAAUUUCACAUUUGAAGUAUAUGGAAGUGUUAAAGUUGCUGCUGAAAACAUCUCAGUUAAAUGAAGUAUACCACAAUGACUUACAACAAAAGUAUCUCACUUACUAUCCUGUAACACUUUGGAAGACUUUUGAAAGGAUUUUAUAAUGCUGGGAGAGAACGGACCGGUCCGGAAGACAGAGCAGGUGAUCACAGGGUGAGCUCCAUGUCUGAGUGGCUGAAAUCUGACAUUUUCAUCGUAUUUAUGGUGGUCCUGUCGCUCACAGUUAUUUCCAUCUUUGCGGUCUGCUGUCUCAUGAGGCGCCGUCGCACACACAAAACAAGACAGAAAUUGGCAGAAAUCGAGAUCGUGCCUUUUGCAGGUUCAGGUAGAAACCAUAAACCCAGAUUCACCCUGAGGAUCAUCACAGAGCAGAAACAUGCCUCAGAGCUUGUUCAGAUGUUAACGAGCCAAAUCCGCUUCACUGCAUGUCCUGCAGGCUCGACUGGCCUUGGUGUCUCUGCUGUAACUGCUGAGGUUGCCUCUACUUCUCAAGAUCAACUGGAGAUGUACGCUUUAUCUCCCUGUCACACAACAACAGACGCCGCACUCCCUAUUGGAGAGCAGGUCACAUCACUGGACUUGCAACCUACAAAUCCCACUGAACACUUGGUGACCGCUACAGUUGAGCCAAUCAGGAUUACUGAUAAUGAAGAAAACGAUUCUAGUGAUAGUGAAACACUGCAGUUCUACCCUGCUUUAUCAUAAGACUGCAUACAAGACAAGUUUACUGAGUUAAUAACGAACAUAAAUGUCUUUCUUUGCUUUAUAUAUGCUGUGUAGGUCAUGCUGUUCUGCUACGUGUUGUUUUUCAACGAGUCAGAUGUAUUCCUGUUUACUAACCCCUUCUUAAAUAGUAGUCUGCUCGUACGUGUGCUUGGUUUCCAAAUUCAUAUGAACAAAGCGAUGUUAAUUCACUAAAAGCAUCUUUUGCUAACUAGCCUACAAUUUUACCAUUAAAGCAUCAUUGAAUAUACUUGGUCAGAUGGUCUUGGUUCCAGCUCUUCAGCUCACUCAGGUUCUCCUUCAGGAACAGCAGGUGUAUAGUAACUGACUUUGGUGUCUUGGUGUCUCUACCACAUUUAAAGGUAUGUUUUAAUGCUCUCAAACUCUGUGCCCUAAUGCUCUAUGGAUCCUAAAAACUUUUUUCCUAUGAAAUUACAUUUUGCUCAUUUAAUGCCUUAAAAGGUCUGAAUUUGAAUAUAGAUCAAUCUGGAAUUAUAUUUUAUACAAGAAUACAUCGUAUAUGUGUUCAGAAUUGGCAAGUCAUCUUUUUUAGCCAGAGUAAACUGAUCUGUGGUAAAAUGUGUGUUUUUGAACACGUUCUGUAGCUAGAGCUGUGUAGUCUAUGUCUUGGUAUCACAUUAGCCAAGAGCUAUCAGGGAAACCAAGUCAACUCAAAUUAUAGUUUGUAUUUGCUAAACUAUUUUAAACCCUAAAACUCCAGUAACCACACAUAUUAACUACAUACUAACCCCAUUUCUGUAAAAAUUGGGAUUUUUUUCUAAAAUACAAUAAAAAUAAAAAUCUGA